AGUGUGAUGGUUUAGUUAUUUGAGUGUUGGACUAAGACUCUAGAGGCCAGGGUUCAAAUCCCUGCUUGACCA